UACGUAGGGGGGCAAGCGUUGUCCGGAAUCAUUGGGCGUAAAGAGCGUGUAGGCGGCCUGAUAAGUCGGCUGUGAAAGUCAAGGGCUCAACCCUUGAAUGCCCGGCCGAUACUGUCAGGCUAGAGUCCGGAAGAGGAGAGUGGAAUUCCUGGUGUAGCGGUGAAAUGCGCAGAUAUCAGGAGGAACACCGACGGCGAAGGCAGCACUCUGGGCCGGUACUGACGCUGAGGGAGCGAAAAGCAUGGGGGAGCGAAACAGGAUU
rnacentral:rRNA from 1 species